GCCCUCGUGGAUCAAGGUGAUUGCCCCUAUUCGGUCAAAGUGCUAAGGGAUGAUUUGAUCGCGGGGAGGCGGAGGUUCGAUUCCUCCCGAGGGCC